UACGUAGGGGGCUAGCGUUGUCCGGAAUCAUUGGGCGUAAAGAGCGUGUAGGCGGUCCGGUAAGUCCGCUGUGAAAGUCGGGGGCUCAACCCUCGAAUGCCGGUGGAUACUGUCGGGCUAGAGUGCGGAAGAGGCGAGUGGAAUCCCUGGUGUAGCGGUGAAAUGCGCAGAUAUCAGGAGGAACACCUAUUGCGAAGGCAGCUCGCUGGGACGUUACUGACGCUGAGACGCGAAAGCGUGGGGAGCAAACAGG
rnacentral:rRNA from 1 species